AUAUAAAUUCCUACAAUGUUAAUGCAUCAGAUCCCAUUAGAACUUCACAGUUAAGUGCGCUUGGGAUAGAGUAGUAAUGGGAUGAGUGACCUCACAGAAAGUCUUAGUGUUUUACAUU
rnacentral:rRNA from 1 species